rnacentral:rRNA from 1 species
UACGUGAGGACGAGCGUUGUCCGGAAUCAUUGGGCGUAAAGAGCGUGUAGGCGGCUCGAUAAGUCUGCUGUGAAAGUCCAGGGCUCAACCCUGGAAGGCCGGUGGAAACUGUCGGGCUAGAGUCCGGAAGAGGCGAGUGGAAUUCCCGGUGUAGCGGUGAAAUGCGCAGAUAUCGGGAGGAACACCAAUGGCGAAGGCAGCUCGCUGGGACGGUACUGACGCUGAGACGCGAAAGCGUGGGGAGCAACAGG